AUGGGACUUGGAGUAAAUUCAGAAUCUACAACAGCUCCAUCAACAUUUACAACAGCUGUAUCUCCUGUGAGCACAACCACAAUAGAAUCAUCUACAAGUGAAAGUGGUUCAACACUAGGAACAACAUCAUUUCCAACAGAUUCUACUCCAUCUUCACCAUCGUCUACAACAGAAGGACAGACAUCAUCAGAAUUCACUUCAUCUACAACAGAGAUAUCAUCAUCUAGUUUAGAACAAACAACAAACCAGCAGACACCAACCAAUCAAUAUACUUCUACCACUGAUAUCGAAUCUACAACAACAGCUCCAUCAACACUUACAACAGCUGUAUCUCAUGUGAGCACAACCACAAUAGAAUCAUCUACAAGUGAAAGUGGUUAACAACUGGGAACAACAUCAUUUCCAACAGAUUCUACUGCAUCUUUACCAUCGUCUACAACAGAAGGACAGACAACAUCAGAAUUCACUUCAUCUACAACAGAGAUUUAUCAUCUAGUGUAGAUCAAACAACAAACCAGCAGACACCAACUCCACUACAAUAUUACGUCAACCACUGAAUAGAAUCUACAACAACAGCUCCAUCAACGACUAGUGUCCCUCUCCGAGCACACCACAACAGAAUACAUCUACAAGUGAAAGUGGUUCAACACUGGGAACAACAUCAUUUCCAACAGAUUCUACUGCAUCUUUACCAUCGUCUACAACAGAAGCACAGACAACAUCAGAAUUCACUUCAUCUACAACAGAGAUUUUAUCAUCUAGUGUAGAUCAAACAACAAAUCAAGAGACACCAUCCACUCAAUAUAGUUCUACCACUGAAUAGAAUCUACACCAACAGCUCCAUCAACAUUGACAACAGCUGUAUCCUCCUGUGAGCAAAACCACAAUAGAAUCAUCUACAAGUGAAAGUGGUUCAACACUGGGAACAACAACAUCCACAACAGAUUCUACUCCAUCUUCAGCAUCGUCUACAACAGAAGGACAGACAUCAUCAGAAUUCACUUCAUUUACAACAGAGAUACCAUCAUCUAGUAUAGAACAAACAACAAACCAGCAGACACCAUCCACUCAAUAUCCUUCUACCACUGAAAUAGAAUCUACACCAACAGCUCCAUCAACAAUUUACAACAGCUGUAUCUCCUAGGUGAGCUCGGAACCAAGUGGUUCAACACUGGGAAAAACAUCAUUUCCAACAGAUUCUACUCCAUCUUCACCAUCGUCUACAACAGAAGCACAGAUAACAACAGAAUUCACUUCAUCUACAACAGAGAUUAUCCUCAUCUAGUGUAGAACAAACAACAAACCAGCAGACACCAUCCACUCAAUAUCCUUCUACCACUGAUAUAGAAUCUACAACAACAGCUCCAUCAACACUUACAACAGCUGUAUCUCCUGUGAGCUCAACCACAAUAGAUCAUCUACAAGUGAAAGUGGUUCAACACUGGA
rnacentral:lncRNA from 1 species